GAGUGGCUGGAAUGGGGCUGAAGAUGGGUAAUACUGGGAGUGGGUGUGAUCUGUGGUGGAUAGAAGCAAAAUUGGGCGUAAUUUGUAGUUCCGGUUUAAUCACGCUAUGGUUCUCAAGGCUUCUGCUGAAAUAGGACAGAAGCCUGAGCUGGGCGGGGCCGUUUGAUGAUUGACGGGGUAGGACUUGGCUUGGACUUGCCAAAGGCCUUCUCAGUUACUUAUGUAACUUAGGUUGGCAUUCAUUCACUAGUACCUUGAUGAGGACUGGUGGUGCACACCUGUCAUCCCAACACUCCAGAGACCCGGAGACGAAGAUCGGGCGUUUAGACCAGGCUGGGCUAAAUGAGACGCUGUAUAAAAACUAAAAUGUAAAGAAAAAGUAAAGAAGGCAGCAGACACACUGUGGACAAGCUUAUUGUUGCCAGUGCCUCCAACCGCCUGAUGCAGCAGUUCAGACUCAUUGAAGAGAAACGUUGUGGGCUACUGAGCAGGUGCAGGCUCUUGCCACCAAUCCUGAGGGGCCUGAGUUCGAUCUCGGAGACAAGUAGGACCACCACAGACAAAGAUGAGUAAAGCAAAGUAAUGAAAAAUAAAAGCUGUGCAAAUGCUGAAGCC
rnacentral:lncRNA from 1 species